ensembl:lncRNA
GGACAUUCCAUCCAGGGACCACCGGUAAGAUAUGAUAUAUGACCUAUAACCCUGGUCCUCAAGGGCCUAGUGGACAUUCCAUCCAGGGACCACCGGGUGGUGAUGGUGAAAAGGGAGAAAAGGGAGAUGUUGGUUUACCAGGACCUCAGGGUGUUGGUGGAUCUCCUGGCGGAUCAGGAAGAGAUGGACCAGUUGGACAGAGGGUAACAGUCUAUUCAUUUUGUUUGACUUACAGAUUCAUUAUUUCCAUGAUGUUUUGUAUGUACAUUUUGUUUGUACGACCUGCUCAAAGCCUGAGCGCCCUGAGCUCUUUAGCUCAAUUUUAAAUAUUAAAGUCAAAUCUGUUUUUCUUCCUAUUUUGAAGCCCGUAGUUUUGUUUCCUUCCUCACAACGGACAUAACACUGACGUUUUUAUGUCACGAUGCUUUAAAUCGUUGGCUUAAAGCUCACGAGAUGUUUUCAGAAUGCUGUUUUGAUUUCCCUAUGAAUCAAUUUCAUGUCUCCAUACUCUGACACAGCACUUAAAAUAAAUGUGCUGUAAAUAAAUGAGUUAUGA